rnacentral:rRNA from 1 species
GACGAACGCUGGCGGCGUGCCUAACACAUGCAAGUCGAACGGAGAUUUUAUGGAAUGCGACUUCGGUCAAAUGAAAUCUAAUCUUAGUGGCGGACGGGUGAGUAACACGUGAGCAACCUACCUUUCAGAGGGGAAUAACGGCUGGAAACGGUCGCUAAUACCGCAUAAUAUACACUUUAGGCAUCUUUAGUGUAUCAAAGAUUUUAUCGCUGAAAGAUGGGCUCGCGUCUGAUUAGAUAGUUGGUGGGUAACGGCCUACCAAGUCUACGAUGUCUAGGGGUUCUGAGAGGAAGGUCCCCCANACUGGAACUGAGACACGGUCCAGACUCCUACGGGAGGCAGCAGUGAGGAAUAUUGGUCAAUGGUCGGAAGACUGAACCAGCCAAGUAGCGUGAAGGAUGAAGGUUCUAUGGAUUG